rnacentral:tRNA from 1 species
GCCCGAGUGGCGCAAUGGUAGCGCACCCGACUUGUAAUCGGGUGGUUAGUGGGUUCGAAUCCCCUCUCGGGCUCCA